rnacentral:rRNA from 1 species
UACAGAGGGGGCAAGCGUUAUUCGGAAUUAUUGGGCGUAAAGGGCGCGUAGGCGGUAUGGCAAGUGGAAGGUGAAAUCCCUCGGCUUAACCGAGGAACUGCCCUCCAAACUGCUUUACUUGAGGCCGGGAGAGGUGAGUGGAAUUCCCAGUGUAGCGGUGAAAUGCGUAGAUAUCAUUUGGAACGCCAAUGGUGAAAACAACUCGCUGGGGGUGUGCUGACGCUGAGACACGAAAGCCAGGGGAGCGAACGGG